rnacentral:rRNA from 1 species
GCCAGUCUGCAUGGAGCCGGCCUUGAAAUACCACCCUUUAAUGUUUGAUGUUCUAACGUGGACCCGUGAUCCGGGUUGCGGACAGUGUCUGGUGGGUAGUUUGACUGGGGCGGUCUCCUCCUAAAGAGUAACGGAGGAGCACGAAGGUUGGCUAAUCCUGGUCGGACAUCAGGAGGUUAGUGCAAUGGCAUAAGCCAGCUUGACUGCGAGCGUGACGGCGCGAGCAGGUGCGAAAGCAGGUCAUAGUGAUCCGGUGGUUCUGAAUGGAAGGGCCAUCGCUCAACGGAUAAAAGGUACUCCGGGGAUAACAGGCUGAUACCGCCCAAGAGUUCAUAUCGACGGCGGUGUUUGGCACCUCGAUGUCGGCUCAUCACAUCCUGGGGCUGAAGUAGGUCCCAAGGGUAUGGCUGUUCGCCAUUUAAAGUGGUACGCGAGCUGGGUUUAGAACGUCGUGAGACAGUUC